CAACCAUACAAUUAAUUUUCUCCUCUCUCUUCUUUUACCAUUCUCUCUCCUCUUUUUGGGGUAAUCCUAAUCAUCUCCUUAUUUUUUCUCUCUUUUCUCUCUUCUUUCACUUGAGGAUUUGAAUCUCAUUACCAAAAAAAUCUAUAUCUUUUCUCCUCUUUCAACACAAAUAUUUGUCAUCACCUCCUUUUGAUGUUUUGAUCCCUUUGCUUUUGAAAUGACAGAAAAACAUAAAAGGCUAGAAUAAAGAUGGGUUCAAAGGAAUAAGCUGCUUGCAGAUGGAACCACUACAUAUGUGGGAGGUAUACAGGUGAUGCGAAAAAAAUAAGUAAAGUAAGCUAAAAAGAGAUAAAAAAGGGAAGAGAAGUGUAAAAGAUGGAAAAGCAGGAGAAAGAUCUGACCUCAGUUACCACAAUCAAGGUUUGUGGGCCGCGACCACGGCCAAUCCAGAUUAGUCAGAGCCAGUGAUUGUGAAGGACACAUUGCAAUCGCAGAAGUCACGAUUGCAAUCGCAGAAGUCACGAUUGCAAUCAAGAUAGGGUGAUCACAGCAACACGGGUUUAUACUGUGGGAAAAUUUGUAAUUUCAUAGAACUGGCCCCAAUUCCCAUAGAGAGUAAAAACCCAUUCAAUUUUAGGCAUCAUUCCAAAUAGAAUUGAACUUGGAGAAAUUUAAAACCUUACCAAAUUAGAAAACUUAUUGUGGCUAACUUCUCAAGUAGUUUUGGUUGUAAUUGAAGUUAGACAUUGAAGAAUACUCUUUUUUGUAUCUUCAAUGAAAGCAUUGAAUGAUUAUUUUGGUAUAAUUCUUUUCCCUAA